rnacentral:lncRNA from 7 species
GUUUCUUUUCCUCCCGGAUCCCUAAUGGUUGUGCAUAUGCGAAUGGCUUGUUGUUGUUUCUCGUCCUCCAGCCGCAUUUAUACUUAAGAGAAAUGUACCCCGAGGAACCAGAGAUGCUCCGCUUCCUACGGCAGGCAGUUACGUAAGAGCCUUAUCAAAACCUGAUAGUAGGAUCUUGGAAGUGACUGUGUAGCAGCUUUCAUCAGCACUACCAUCGUGCAACGUGGAAAUUUCCACUUUUUAGUUAUUCGUGUGGUUUUUAUAUGGGGGUGGUUGUGUGUGUGUAUACUUUAAUGAAAGAUGAUAUGCAUCUGUUGUAGGGAGAUUUCUUGUGACCUGGGGUAUCAGAACUACAACUUAUGAAAUUCUUCCUCCUCCGCGUACCCUCACUCCCGAACCGGUACAGUUUCCCUCUUAAAGUUUUCUGUGAUCCUUUCGAAAUAUCGAAUUCCGCUGAAAGCA